rnacentral:rRNA from 1 species
UUAAGUCCCGCAACGAGCGCAACCCUUAUCUUAAUUGCCAGCAUUCAGUUGGGCACUUUAAAGAGACUGCCGGUGUUAAACCGGAGGAAGGUGGGGAUGACGUCAAGUCCUCAUGGCCUUUAUGCUUAGGGCUACACACGUGCUACAAUGGGUGGUACAAAGAGAAGCCAACUCGCGAGAGCGCGCCAAUCUCAAAAAGCCAUCCUCAGUUCGGAUUGGAGUCUGCAACUCGACUCCAUGAAGUUGGAAUCGCUAGUAAUCGCGGAUCAGCAUGCCGCGGUGAAUACGUUCCCAGGCCUU